AACAAACGCUGGCGGCGUGCCUAAUACAUGCAAGUCGAACGAGGAAAGCUUUCGGGUGAGUACUAGUGGCGCACGGGCGAGGAAUACAUGGGUAAUCUGCCCUCGAGUUGGGGAUAACCAGUCGAAAGAUUGGCUAAUACCGAAUAAGACCACAGGAUCUGCGGAUCUAGGGGUUAAAGGUUUUUCGCUUGAGGAUGAGCCCAUGCGGGAUAAGCUAGUUUGUGAGGUAAUGGCUCACCAAGGCUACGAUCCCUAACUGGUCUUAGAGGAUGAGCAGUCACACUGGAACUGAGACACGGUCCAGACUCCUACGGGAGGCAGCAGUAGGGAAUAUUGCACAAUGGGGGAAACCCUGAUGCAGCGACGCCGCGUGAGUGAUGAAGGCCUUCGGGUCGUAAAGCUCUGUCGUAUGGGACUAACACAAUGAAGGUACCAUGCAAGAAAGGAUCGGCUAACUUCGUGCCAGCAGCCGCAGUAA
rnacentral:rRNA from 1 species